rnacentral:rRNA from 1 species
CCUACGGGAGGCUGCAGUGGGGAAUAUUGGACAAUGGGCGAAAGCCUGAUCCAGCCAUGCCGCGUGUGUGAAGAAGGCCUUCGGGUUGUAAAGCACUUUCAAUGGGGAAGAAAGCCUUGGGGCUAAUACCCUCGAGGAAGGACAUCACCCACAGAAGAAGCACCGGCUAACUCCGUGCCAGCAGCCGCGGUAAUACGGAGGGUGCGAGCGUUAAUCGGAAUUACUGGGCGUAAAGCGCGCGUAGGCGGUCUGAUAAGCCGGUUGUGAAAGCCCCGGGCUCAACCUGGGAACGGCAUCCGGAACUGUCAGGCUAGAGUGCAGGAGAGGAAGGUAGAAUUCCCGGUGUAGCGGUGAAAUGCGUAGAGAUCGGGAGGAAUACCAGUGGCGAAGGCGGCCUUCUGGACUGACACUGACGCUGAGGUGCGAAAGCGUGGGUAGCAAACAGGAUUAGAUACCCGAGUAGUC